UCACUCAAUUACAGCACAUAUACUCAAAUUGGAACAAUACAGAGAAGAUCAGCAUGGCCCCUGCACAAGGAUGACCCGUGAAUUUGGGAAGCGUUCCGUUUUUUU